rnacentral:tRNA from 1 species
CAGAGGGUAGUUUAUAAAAAAUAUUAAUUUUGGGGAUUAAUGAAAAGGAGCUUCUUUUCCUCUGA